GUAUUAUAACUUUAUGCUCAAUUAAGAGACUUUAUGCAUUCUUAUAGACUUGUGUGUUUAUAAAUUGUGUGUAAAAAUGAAGUGUGUUCACAGUGUGUGGAAAUGAAAUUGGUCGGACCUCUAAAAAGAGCGCCCUAAAAAUUCAUUAAUGAUCCUUCCGCAGGUUCACCUACGGAAA
rnacentral:misc_RNA from 1 species